rnacentral:rRNA from 1 species
GGGAUUGCCCUAGUAACGGCGAGUGAAGCGGCAACAGCUCAAAUUUGAAAUCUGGCGCAAGCCCGAGUUGUAAUUUGUAGAGGAUGCUUCUAGGUAGCGACCGGUCUAAGUUCCUUGGAACAGGACGUCAUAGAGGGUGAGAAUCCCGUAUGUGACCGGCCCGCACCUUCUACGUAGCUCCUUCGACGAGUCGAGUUGUUUGGGAAUGCAGCUCUAAAUGGGAGGUAAAUUUCUUCUAAAGCUAAAUACCGGCCAGAGACCGAUAGCGCACAAGUAGAGUGAUCGAAAGAUGAAAAGCACUUUGGAAAGAGAGUUAAAAAGCACGUGAAAUUGUUGAAAGGGAAGCGCUUACAACCAGACUUCUGGGCGGUGUUCCGCCGGUCUUCUGACCGGUCUACUCACCGUCCCGAGGCCAACAUCAUCUGGGACCGCCGGAUAAGACCUUAGGAAUGUAGCUCCCCUCGGGGAGUGUUAUAGCCUGUGGUGAUGCGGCGCGUCUCGGGUGAGGUCCGCGCUUCGGCAAGGAUGUUGGCGUAAUGGUUGUCAGCGGCCCGUCUUGAAACACGGACCAAGGAGUCUAACAUCUAUGCGAGUGUUCGGGUGUCAAACCCCUACGCGUAAUGAAAGUGAACGGAGGUGGGAAGGGUAACCUGCACCAUCGACCGAUCCUGAUGUCCUCGGAUGGAUUUGAGUAAGAGCAUAGCUGUUGGGACCCGAAAGAUGGUGAACUAUGCCUGAAUAGGGUGAAGCCAGAGGAAACUCUGGUGGAGGCUCGCAGCGGUUCUGACGUGCAAAUCGAUCGUCAAAUUUGGGUAUAGGGGCG